rnacentral:lncRNA from 1 species
UUGACGACUAAUACGUUCGACUUCGCAAGGUGCACGUUCCAAUGAUUACCCUCCGGUUCUACGUUUGAGUAUCGGAUUAUCGGAUUUUAAGUUCAUAUCUAGUGCACGUCCAGAAUUAUUGUGUUCUUAAUUGUCAAAAUUUAAGUUUCUAAUUUUAUAUCUGUAGGUAGUACAUUGUAAAUAUAUAAAUGAAUGUGUUAAGGUUUUCAACUAUUCGAAUAUGAAUCGGUUAUUAUUAUACGUUUCAAUUACUAACGAAAUUAAAUGCAUAAUAAUUACAUCUAUCGGAUAAUCCAAUUAGAAUUUCAAUAUACUCGUCUAUACCAAUUAAUCAAAUUUUCACUUCUCAUAACUACACAUUGAUUUUCUAAAUAUUACACGAAGCUAAUAAAUUCUUCGCUAGCUCGUAAAUCGAGAGAGACCAGGUUAACAUAUAUUAAAUCUCUAAACUGUUAGAUCAAAUCUGAAGAUAAAUCUUCAUUAAUCUUAACGAUGUAUAAGUGGUGUACAAAUCAGACCAAGAAGAAAAUAAGACAAUCCCCAAGGUCCAUGAUUAAAAAAUGGUAAGCCCGUUCUCUCUCUUCGGAUCUUGAAGAAGAUUUUUUUCUCAAACGGAGAACAAGGAGGUUCGAAUACAUCGAAAGGGAGAAAAGAUACAUUACGAAAAUAAUGGCGUAUGAACAAAGUUCGGAGCGUUUCGUGAACACGAUCGAGGAGGCAGCUUACGAGGCAACAUGAUAGGGAGGUUCGGUGCACCGGCUAUAUUCAAGGAAAAAUCAAGGUCGUUCUUGGGAGAUAAACGCACCUUUGCUCGAAACAUUCUGCCAAGAUUGUUCAACAUUUUUCACGCUACGAAUUAAUCAAAUCUAUUAAAAUUGUAAAGAUAAUCGUUGUUAUAUAGCUGCUCGACAGUUUAUUUAAGGACCACGAUAUCCUAAAUCUUAAAUUUAAAUUAAAUUUCAUUAUUAUCUUA